rnacentral:lncRNA from 1 species
CUAAUUUUUACCUGCCACAGUUUGGCAAAUGUUAAUCUUAACAGCUUAUAUUUCCAAACAAUUUGUUCUUUUUUCUCAAAGUUGGGGUAUUCAACACCUCACAGGUAUCCCGUACAAUCCAUAAGGACAAGCUAUUGUGGAGCGCAGUAAUCAAACAUUAAAAGUGUUUCUUUUAAAACAGAAAGGGGGAGACAGCUCCUGCAUCGACGAUUGGCAAUAGCUGUAUAUACCAUAAAUAAUUUGAUCUUUACUUCCAAUAAUAUAUCCAGAGCUGAAAAUUUUUUCUCUGCAUUUUCUUAUGAAAGAAAUUCAGGUACCACCGCUCCUGUACUCCCUGCCACACACAAAAGUUUGUCAUGUGGAAAGAUGAUAAUCAAACUUGGCAAGGACCCCACCCAGUGGUCCUGCCAGGCCAAGGUUUUGUUUGUGUCUCCACAGGUAAAGACAGAGUAUGGCUCCCUUCCCGCUGAGUUUGAGAAAUUGACCAUAAAGAGAAGGACAAGGAGAGGACGCAGGAAGCCCUGGCAAGGAGAAUCGACAAUGUCUCCAUAAGAUACUGACUCUGCUGCUUCUAUUUCAGAAUUUAAGUACAGCUAUCAGAAUAAAGAAAUGGGCUUUUUGGGAAUAACCACCUUGGAUAGAGUAUGUCGGCAUGGGACACACUUUACCAGAAGUCAUCUUAUAUACAAAAAACAACUCUGGCAUUCCAGGCAUUUAUCAUUUUGAAGGACUGUAUAGGGACAGCAAUCAGGCCAAUCAUUUGUUUGUGUCUUUCAAUUGGACUGGACUAGCUGAGACACCCCCAGCAUGCCUCACACAAGACCAUCCUGAAUGCCUGCCCCUCAGAUCUCUGCAGGCGCAUUAUUAUGGUCAUCCUGACCUGUCAGACUCUUUCUGGAUAGGACCUUAUCACAUAGACAAAAAGGAGAAUCACGAACCACAACAUAUUGAAGAUUCUUUAUAUGAUUGGAUUAAUACAGGAAAAGGGUUGUUUUCCUCCUUAUUUCAUGAUAUUACUCUUCUUAUAGUUGGUGCACUUGUGAUUUUGUUUAUCUGUCUAUACUUGCCUUGUUUACUAAAAGCUUUAAUGACUAGUUUUGCUGUAUUGCAAAAAACUAUUACUGGGAUCCUGUACCAAAGGGAAUUGGAUGGCAUAAACAAAAGGGGGGAAUUGUAGUGAACCUUCCAUGAAUCCAUGGGAAAGAGUUCCUCUUCCCAGGUGUUUGUGACAUACUAUUCCUGCUGAGUUGAUGCACCCGCAAUCAAAACAGUGGCA